CCGACUAGGUGGGAUUACAGGCGCCCGCCAGCACGCCUGGCUAAUUUUUGUAUUUUUAGUACAGACGGGGGUUUCAUCAUGUUGGCGGCCGGACUGUUCUCUAACUCCUGACCUCAAGUAAUCGGCCCGCCUCGGCCUCCCAAAGUGCUGGAACUACAGGCAUGAGCCACCGCGCCUCGCCCCAUUUCCUUUAUUUUAUUUUAUUAUGUUCAGACGGAGUUUCGCUCUUGCUGUCCAAGCUGGAAUGCAGUGGCGCGAUCUCGGCUCACCGCAACCUCUACCUCCCGGGUUCAAGCGAUUCUCCUGCAUCAACCUCCGGAGUAGCUGGGAUUACAGGCGCACGCCACCACGCCCGACUACAUUUCCUUUAUUUUAUUUUCAUACUUUACUAGCCUGUUUGUUGAUCACAAGACUGGCGGUGCACAAGGUUGGGUCUCGGUGUUCACCGGGCGGUGGGCAUGGGCGAGGUGGGAGGGUCUCCAGCGCCUGGUGCUAAUCUCCAAGAAAGUGCAGGAAACAGCACCAAACGUGAUUGCAAAGUUUUGGUUUGGCGCGGCGGGUAGGCGUUCCAGCGCAGAAAUGCGCAGGAAAGUUUCUGCUGUGCUUGUAGGAUGGUCGGCCCCAAGCGCUUCUUUUGUUUUUUGAAACAGAGUUUCGCUCUGUCACCCAGGCUGGAGUGCAGUGGCGUGAUAUCCGCUCACUGCAAGCUCCGCCUCCCGGGUUCACGCCAUUCUGCGGCCUCAGCUUCCCGAGUAGCUGGGACUAUAGGCGCCCGCCACGACGCCUGGCUAAUUUUUCGUAUUUUUAGUAGAGAUGGGGUUUCAACGUGUUAGCCAGGAUGGUCUCCACCUUCUGACCUCGUGAUCCGCCCGCCGCGGCCUCCCAAAGUGCUGGGAUUACAGGCGUGAGCCGCCGCGCCCGGCCGGCCCCAAACACUUCUUAUUGGCUAAUCUGGAGCAAACCUGCAUGUCCAUUGGCUGAAAGCUCCAUCUAUUUGAGGGUGACUGAGAGCGUCCCUUCCUUCUGUGUUGCCUGGAAACGGACUGUCCGCCUAGUAACAUCUGAUCACGUUUCCCAUUGGUCACCGUUUCCGGAAGCCCGCUCUCCCGUUUCCGGAAGCCCGGUACGCUCUGGGUCUGCAGAUGGCGUCCUGGGUCUGCAGAUGGCGUCCGGGGUCUGCAGAUGGCGAGUGUGAUUCCGCAGUCUUGGGCUGUUUGGCCAAGCGCCCGCCGGACAUGGUACGCCGAAGGGUCAUCGGCGUGGAGUCCUCGGUUUCAGCGUCCGCGGCUGGGAAGUCGGCCAUCGCUACGGCCGGAACUGGGACUCGGGAUGCGUCCCGGCCCUUCCCCAUCGGUCCACCGCACUCGUGGGCGCCCGCAUUGGUGCUGACAUAAUAUCCUGACCUCUGACCCGUAUUGUCUCGCGAUUAAAGAGCUGCGCCUGGAUCCCGCCGCAGUGAGGAGACCUGAAGACCAGAGGAAACACAGCAAACGGAGCCUUGCUCUGUUGCCCAGGCUGGAGUGUAGUGAUCUCGGCUGACUGCAAGCUCUACCUUCCGGGUUGACACCAUUCUCCCACCUCAACCCCCGGAGUAGCUGGAACUACAGCCUCCUGCCACCACGCCUGGCUAAUUUUUUUUUUGUAUUUUUAGUAGAGACGGGGUUUCACCAUGUUAGCUAGGAUGGUCUCGAUCUGCUGACCUCGUGAUCCACCCGCCUCGGCCUCUCAAAGUGCUGGGAUUACAGGCGUAAGCCACUGCGCCUGGCUGUUUUUUCAUUUCUAUUAUGAUUUGUUCUGUGGAAUGUCAGGGACUUAGCGGUAUUUUUAUCACAUGUUUAUAAAGCUGAAUAGUUUUGUAUGUCAGCUCAGCAUCCUUAGUGUCAGCCAUGCUAGUCUCCUGCUGUGCAUAGAUCGAGGCCUGUCCACACCCGAAUCUCCUGGGUUCCCACUGUCAGCACCUGAAGGUACCCACCAGAUGUGUCUGUCACUUCCCUACAUCCACCUCUCUUGUGGUUCUCAUGUUUCUGCCUCCCUAGAGACCAUUUCUCUGUAGAGCAGCGCUUUCCAAUAGAAAUACAAUGCCAGACACAUAAGUUGUUUUAGAUUUUCUAGUAGUCACUUUAGAAAAGUUAAAAAGAAACAGGUGAAAUUAAGUUUUAUUGCACCUAAAAUGUUAGCAUUAUCCAAAAUAUCACUUCAACAUCUUAUCAAAAUAAAAUUAUUAAUGAGAUUGUUUACAGUUCCAAUAAAUAGGCGAACUGAGAGCAUACACAGUAGUAUUCUGUUCUAAUUUCUGCUUCACUGUGAGUGUCUUGACAUAGUCUUAAAAGAUUAUUGCUGUGAAAUAUUAUACAUGUAACUCAUAACCUCUACAAUUCUGCAGUUGUAAUUGGUUGUCUUACCUAAUAAUCAGUUGCUUUGCUUCAUAAUAUUUAAAUUGGCAUCUCUAUUUUCCAAAAGGCAUAAAUACUAGUAUAGUUUUUUAGAGCCAGGAGAAAGUUCACUUUAUUUACUAACAUAACUUAUACAUAAAAAUUUAAUAAAUCUCCCUGCUUCUUUUCUUUUGCAUCAUAACAACCACUGAAAAUAAUAUUUCUAUGGCAGUUGGGGGUAAAUGGACAAUAGCUUUUGUGACCAGAGGUGAAUGGCCCAGGGGCUCCAGCACUCCAGGUCCCACUGAGCCUGCCCCACAGCUGAGGGCAUCGGUAUUUCCACACACCUAUAAUGUACAGUGCCCCAGAACAGAGAUCGGAUGCUCUCCUUUAUUCAAAUGGGGUGUUGAGAGUAUUGUCAUUGUAAUUGAAUUAGUAAGUAAGUAUUUAUACACUGUUAAAAUCUGGUUGGAUUUGUGUCCCUUCACAAAACAAAUUGCUUAAAUGAAACCACAGAGUUAACAUAAUUGACUACAUCUGCUUCUAUGAGAUGCUGUUCUAACAUUUAAUUAGAAUCUAAUUUGAAAUGUCAAUAAAAAGUUUAUUCAACUGAA